rnacentral:tRNA from 1 species
UCUAUUAUGGCAGAUAAGUGCAAUGGAUUUAAGCUCCAUAAAUAAAGUAUAAAUCUUUUAUUAGAA